rnacentral:rRNA from 1 species
CACGGGGGGAGCAAGCGUUGUUCGGAUUUACUGGGCGUAAAGGGCGCGUAGGCGGUCAGCACAAGUCAGUUGUGAAAUCUCCGGGCUUAACUCGGAAAGGUCAACUGAUACUGUGCGACUAGAGUGCGGAAGGGGCAACUGGAAUUCUCGGUGUAGCGGUGAAAUUCGUAGAUAUUGGGAAGAACACCGGUGGCGAAGGCGGCAUCCUGGACCGGUAUUGACGCUGAGGCGCGAAAGCUAGGGGAGCAAACGGG